GCCAGACUGGGGGCACCUCUGGGCCUGCCUGUGGGUCUGGUUCCCUCACCCAGGCUCUCCUGGGAAAGCAGAGGUAAGGAGGGCCUGCCCAGAGUACUUUCGGGCAGCAAUGACUUCAGUGUUUGUCCCUAAAAUAAAUGCACCACAGACAAGACAGUGUGGUCAGGGGCUGAGGACUUACUGUAAAUACCAGCCCCGGGCUUCCUAUUUCUGUUUCUCUGACUCCCCGGGGGGCAGGCGCCGGCCAGCUCCUUUCUAGCGCAUCUCUUCUUACUGCUGCAUCCAAGGAAAGGGCUCGGCCUGGACAUUCCUCAUUGGAAGGUCCCAGGAACACUUUGAGGGUUUGGAGCAGGAACCCCGCUCUCCCAGGGGGGUUAUGCUCAGGGUCUGUCUUCCCCCAAGAAAGGGGCACAAAGCCUAAGUGUGAGGAGCUGUGCUGUGUAUAUUCUGAGAGCCUCACAACAAACCCCAAACAUGGGAGAGCAAACAAUGACAUCUACGAUGCAAGCAUAUGAUAGACACUUUCUUAAAGGCUGUACCUGGUUCAUCACAUACAGUUCUCACCAGAGUCAUAGGGUGGGAAUCAAGACAAGAAUGUAAAGAUCCUUGCCUAAGGGCACCCCGUCUGUAAACUGCAAGUUCAACGCCAGCAGCCUGGCUCCAGACCUGCAUUCUUAACUCCUGCACUGUGCAGUGAAGAUAAGAACGACCUCAUCCUGCAGACGGAGGCAAGCUGUCCAAAGAGAGGUAAGAUCAUUUAUCGAAGGACAUGGGCUGGGUGAGAGGGGUGGAUUUGCAUCAAAGUUCAGUGGACUCCAAAGGUCCUCCCACUGCGCUGGGGCACCUCCUAGAGGCGGUUGAGUAGCAUGUCAUGGAGCUGUUGUUCUGACCCCUUCCCAGCUUCCGAGCAGCUGACACCCUGGGCUGCAGCUGCUGCUCAUCUCCUAGGCUGAGGACGGGAUGGAUCAGCAUUCACAUGCACCUUCUUGAAGCCUUUCAGUGUGAAUGAAUUUGCUGUUUCCAAGGGAGAUGUCUUUGGGGGCGUGGUGUUUCCUGCCUCUAUGUUCCCUGAGGCUCCAAAGGUAUAUCUUGUUCAGCGUCCUGGGACUCCAGAGAAGAUAAGCUACAUUAGUCAAGUGAUUCUUGCCAGGAAAUCUCACAGCCGUCUCAGAGGCUGGCUGAUGCACCCAGGAGAUGGAUAUAUGUCUCAUCCUAUUUGGCACCUAUGCUGUAUAAAACUGUGAAGCCCCCAGGCCUCUCCUCCCUAAGUGGGAGUGGUUGAGAGGGUCGCAGAUAGGGCGAGAGGAGCUGGGGCCCGAGUGGACCACAUGGAACAAAAGUUGAAUGCUGAGUCAUUUCUUUCAAGCGAAUCUGCCGAGGCCAAGUGAGAGUCAUGAUACCUUCCUGUCCACUGAGACACUGGAUGAGACACUAGGGUUGGAUGAUAGUAGGCUGCUUUUUGCAGAUAAUAAAGGUGGUCUCUCAUUUGGGUUGCCUCUUUGCCUUGGCUGCGAAGAUGCUCAUACCGCAUAUUUAUGCUGAAUUAUAACUUUUAUCAAAAAAGUUCUUGGAGUUCCCUGGUAGCUUAGAAGUUAAGGAUUCAGUGCUGUCACUGCUGUGGCUUGGGUUUGAUCCCUGGACUGGAAAUUCUGCAUGCUGUGGGCAUGCCCCUCCCCCAAAGAAGUUCUUGCAUAGUCUCCUCUGUUUGAAAACUUUUAUUUUUUUUUCUGAACUCUUAUUAUAAAUCAACUGGGAUUCAGAUAAAAUAUCGCACAAUUCUACUUAUAUGAGGGAUCUAAAAGAGUCCAAGUCAUAAAAGCAAAGAAUAGAAUGCUGUUUCCCAAGGGCUGAAAUGGGAAAAUUGCUGAUCAGAGAGUGCAAAAUUUUAUUUAUGUAAGAUGAAUGCUAUCUAGAGAUUUGCUGUACAACAUUGUACUUGUAGUUAAUUACACAGUACACUUAAAAAUCUGUUAAGAGAGUAAAGUUUAUGGUAAGUGCUCUUGCCACAAAAAGUUUUAACAAAGGAAAAAUGUGACUAGUACAUUUAUUAGUGCUGAAUACCACACAGCAUAGGUCUCUAGUCACUAUUCCUUCAUUAUUUGUUGAUUGAAUUUCUCAAAGAUUUGGUGAGCACAUCCCAUACGCUAGGCUGCCAUUCUUGGUACUGGGAGACUUUGGGGAACAUGGCUAAGGUCCUGACUCAAUCUGCAGGGUGGAAGUCAAUCGCUAAACAUGUAAAUUUCGCACUUGCAGACAUAACGCACGCAUGCGCACUCUCACUCUCAGAGGGGCCAGCUGGUGUUACGUAUCCAGGAGGGAAAAAAAAGCAGUGUAGGGAAGCUGGAGAGUGGUCGGGUGUGGGGCAGGGAGGUGGGGGUUUUGCUGUUUUCGUUGGGGUCACAGGGAACCUCUGGGAUGAGACCACGUGUGAGCAGAGACCAGAACAUACCAAUUACGGUCAUGUGAUGAUAAUGGGUAGAGGGAGCGCCAGCAGUGCCUGUAACCUUUACAACAGCCUGGGGAGUAUUAAUGGCAGUGGCUUUUAAAAAAUUUAUUUUCUUAAUAGAGAAGGAGUCUGCGGCCAAACUAGGAUGGAGACCCAGGUCCGUGUUAUUUCCACUAGAUUGAGGCACUGCAGUGGGUUCAUGUGAAAGGUUUAUGGCUAGACUUAGCCUGGCUUUGAAUUUCUGCUCCCCCCACUUCGCAGCUGGGUGAACUCGAGCAAGCUGUAACCUCCUGGGCCAUAGUUUCCUCAUUUGUAAAAUGGAGAUAAAAACAGUCCCUACCUCAUUGGACUGUUUUGGUGAUGAAGUGGCUGAUUCUGUGUCUGGCAUGAGGUUGGGACCCAGUGAAUGUGAGCAGUUAAUUGUUUCCUGAUGCUACCUACCAUCCUUUAAAGGAGAUGAGAGGGAGUUCCCAUUAUGGAUCAGCAGGUUACAAACUCAACUAGUAUCAGUGAAGAUGUGGGUUAGAUCCCUGGUCUCUCUCAGUGGGUUAAGGAUCUGGUGUUAUGUAGCUCACAGAGGUGGUUCAGACCUGGCAUUGCUGUGGCUGUUGUGUAGGCAGGCUACAGCUCCAAUUCGACCCCUAACCUGGGAGCUUCUAUAUGCUGCAGGUGUGGUCCUUAAAAGAGGAAAAAAAAAAAAGAUGAGAGACACAUCCUGAAAAGUCAGCCAAUGGACGAAAGUGAGGAGAACUUGCUGUGGGUAAUGCCCUGAUCUCCAUCCCUGCCAUGGGCUCAGGAAGAUUUAUUUUGCAGCAGCCAAGGCCUAUCUUGUGUGCUGGGACAACGAGCCUGGAGAUGGGGGCUGGACAUGCUUUUCCAUCUCCUUUGAAUCUCCAUAUGGGCAUUGAUGGCUGCCCCUGUCCCUGAGCAUUUGGAGGUGGCCUGAGGGGGACCCUGGAGUUGUCCAAUGAAGGCUGGGCGGAGGGAGGGGGAUUUGCCCAAAGAACAAUGUAGCAAUUGACCUUUCCUAAAAACUGUGCUGGUGAAAACCUCCGUCCUGCCCUCUCCCAGCCAGCACCUUCUAUCAAAAUCCCAAGGGAAGGAAAGGGACAGGGAAGACAGAGCCAAUCAGACCGAUGCCUAAUGGUGUUUGGCUUUGUCCUCGAAUGGCUCUGCAGGUCCCCUGUGAGCCUGUGUGUAGGAAAUGAUCUUUGCUCCAAAUAAAGACUUCAGUGGCUUCUUUUUCUGCUGAAUUUGAGGCUCAUUCUCAGACGUCAGUGCUUUACUGUGAGAACAAGCUACAACCUCCAGCAAAAAGGAAGAGACAGUGGAAGAGGCAGCCCACGGGCCCAGUGUAGCAGCAGGCAGGGUGACUGACUCAGGUUCCCCUAGGACUUGGCUGGUUUUUGUUCUUAAAGUCCCCAGAUCUCCUUGGAAGCAGUGCUGAUCCUCUGAAUGACCCUUGUGUCUUUUGAAAACCGUGCUGACAGCCCAGCCUCACUCCAAGCUCAUGCCUCCAAACCCUCAGGAGCAGGAUCCAGGGAUCUGAAUUUUUUACAAGUUGCCCUGGAGGGAGCCAGUCUUGUCAGGCAAGGCGAUGGGAGAGAGCAGCCCUGGGCCCCCUGCCCAUCACUGUGAGUGUCGUGUCCUGUCCAGAAGCAGUGGUCUAAACAUAUCCCUACGAUGGGCUUUCUUAGGGGAGGAAAGGUGGAGGAGGGGUGGGAAGAAGCUCUCACUCCUGUUCGGAGACCCAGAACUGGUUGAGGGUGGAGGUGUGGGUGGGGUGGCCUGUUGAGCCCAUGUUGCCAGAUAACAUUUAAGAUUUUCUUUUCGCCCUGUAUGGGCAUCUGCAGCUUUCUACAAGGGGCUUCCUUUGAUAGAAGCUUCAAGAACUGGAAAGGCUGAUUUGGAGUUCAUUCAUUCAUGCAUUUGUUCACAUGUUCCAUGUUCAUCAGGCAUUUAUCGACAUUUUUACAGUGUUUUCCAUUCAGAAAUAUGUUCAUCAGGCAUUUAUCGGACACAUGUUAUGUACCAGUGUUGUUCCCAGUUCCAGGAACCCAUGGUGACCUAGGCUGACGGGGUCCCUGGGUCCCUCCAUGGUGGAAUUUUUGAUUCCAGCAGGGUCUGUAAAGCAACAGAGAGAUCAAAAAGGGCAGCCAGCACCUGAUGUUUGAACGUUUUCCAUGGGCUCCUCUCCAGAUCCUCUCUCCACCCUUCCUCACCCUGCUCUGUGCUCUAGGAGGCUGCCUGGUCACCCGCUGGAGCGUCCUUCAACCGCUGGCUUCUGCCUGGAUAGGCGAGGGGGAGGCACAGUGAUUGGAAGAAGUGGGAGGGAAGUUGGGGAAAUUGAUGCCCUGACUUCCUCCUUGCAGAGUCUCUGAGGACGGGGGCUGCCUCCCUCCAGCAAGACGCCCACCAGUGGUCCUCUCCUUCCUUGUGGGCCUGGGGAGGUAAAGCCUCCUCAGCAAUACCAGCCCCUGGAGGCUGCACCGGCUCUUCUGGGUCUCGAUCCUUCUCUCGCUCCUAUGCAUACCCCUUUAAUAAACUGUCUUCAGUUACUGCCUGGAGUGUACCAUCUUUUUCCUUCCAGGACCCUCACUGCAGCAGUCCUAAAGUGCAUCCACAUUCCAGAAAAUAACAACUCAAUUCUCCAGACAAGUGUGCUCAUCUUAUUUUUAAAGAGACACCCACGUCACUGCUAAAGGAACAUCAAAUUUAUGAUUGUAUCUGUGAACUCAGUUUUAUAAAACAAUGCGUUGACCAUUAAGAAAUGGAAAUGGCUAACAGACUGGAAAAAUCAUCUUCACUGGAAUAAAAUAAGUGACAAGUCAUUGAAAAGUGAGACCUUAUUUUACCCUCUCAGACAAACCCUGUGAUGGAGGUCUAAGUGGGUCACUUAAGGGACUGUUAUCAAAAGCCUUAGCAUUUUUAUUCUUAUGCAUCAAGCAAUUCUUUGGUUGAGCGUGUCCACUUAAGGAAACAUUCAAAAACAAAGGUUUUAUGGACAGAGAGGUUCAUCACAGUUUUAGUUAAUACUAAAAAAAUAUAGAAAAUAGAAAUAUUCUGUAAAAGAAGGUUGGUUAAAGAAAUGAUGUUAUGUCCAGGAGGGAAGUGGUUAAGUGUAUAGACUUAGACAAAACCUCCUCUGGUUACACCUUCUAUCACAGUGCUAAGUGCUUUGUGUGUCUUGAGCCAUCCAGUCCUCCCAACGGAAGCCGU
rnacentral:lncRNA from 1 species